UGAUAGCUUUUUGUGGGGUCAUGAGAAUACGUACAAUAGUGUUUGAACAUUGAGUACCAAUUUGGUUAUCGGUUGAAAUUAUUUUGAACCCAAAUUAUCGGUAGAUAGAAUUAUCUCUGUACAAAAUAGGUUUGGACUUGUACAUAUCUUUUACAACGUAAAUUCCAUUGUAUACGAUUUCCACUUCCCAUAUCAUCAAUUCCCUAAUCUUAUGUAAAGUAAUGAUGAUUCUUGUAUGAAUCCAUCAAUCAAUCAACCCCUUUUCACAAAAGGAUCUUUAUUCUUCAAUGUUCCAUCAAAGCAAAAAAAAUGUUGAAUUGUGAUGGAUUCAACAUAACACAACACAGAUCUCUUGGAAUUGGAAUUGCUCAAUUUUCAGGUACUAAAGGUUUAGAAAGGGAUUCAAGACAUUUCACAGGCUCUGAAGAGAAGCAAAUUGAGAAAAAUGCACCAAACUACUUUUCAUUUCAGUUUUAACAUUUUAAAUUUGCAUUAAGAUAAAACAAUUUAUGUGCCAAAUAAAUGAGUCUCUAUAUCCUUAAUUGUAGCUGAACACAGAAUGCACACGUGGGCAUUUUCAGAGACAAAAGUCUGGAGAAAUGAAAAUUAAAAUGACAGAAAGUGAAUCUGUAAGAGGACUUUCUUUGAACAUUUUAUGCUGUUUAGUUGCAUAUACAUUUCACACACAGUCAGACUUCUACAUGAGACUUCAAGAGUGCAAACAAUCAUCUUCCAGGGUCACGAUUGUCUCCACCAUGCAGCUGAUUUACGUGCUCUAAUCCUCUUUCCAGUAAUUGUCCAUGCGAAUACGGUUGUUCUCCAUCUGUUAUAUGGCAAAAAAAUAAAAAAUAAGUUACACAAUUUACAACCAUGAUAA